UCAAAGCUUGCUUUGAUGGAUGGCGACCGGCGCACGGGUGAGUAACACGUAUCCAACCUGCCGACAACACUGGGAUAGCCUUUCGAAAGAAAGAUUAAUACCGGAUGGCAUAGUUUUCCCGCAUGGGAUAAUUAUUAAAGAAUUUCGGUUGUCGAUGGGGAUGCGUUCCAUUAGGCAGUUGGCGGGGUAACGGCCCACCAAACCAACGAUGGAUAGGGGUUCUGAGAGGAAGGUCCCCCACAUUGGAACUGAGACACGGUCCAAACUCCUACGGGAGGCAGCAGUGAGGAAUAUUGGUCAAUGGACGAGAGUCUGAACCAGCCAAGUAGCGUGAAGGAUGACUGCCCUAUGGGUUGUAAACUUCUUUUAUACGGGAAUAAAGUGAGCCACGUGUGGCUUUUUGUAUGUACCGUAUGAAUAAGGAUCGGCUAACUCCGUGUCAGCAGCCGCGGUAAUACGGAGGAUCCGAGCGUUAUCCGGAUUUAUUGGGUUUAAAGGGAGCGUAGGCGGGUUGUUAAGUCAGUUGUGAAGUUUGCGGCUCAACCGUAAAAUUGCAGUUGAUACUGGCGACCUUGAGUGCAACAGAGGUAGGCGGAAUUCGUGGUGUAGCGGUGAAUGCUUAGAUAUCACGAAGAACUCCGAUUGCGAAGGCAGCUUACUGGAUUGUA
rnacentral:rRNA from 1 species